rnacentral:tRNA from 3 species
GCGGCCGUCGUCUAGCCUGGACUAGGACGGCGGGGCUCCGGCCCGCAGAUCCCGGGUUCAAAUCCCGGCGGCCGCA